AGUGAACGCUGGCGGUAGGCCUAACACAUGCAAGUCGAACGGCAGCACAGUAAGAUCUUGCUCUUACGGGUGGCGAGUGGCGGACGGGUGAGGAAUACAUCGGAAUCUACUUUUUCGUGGGGGAUAACGGAGGGAAACUUACGCUAAUACCGCAUACGACCUACGGGUGAAAGCAGGGGAUCUUCGGACCUUGCGCGAUUGAAUGAGCCGAUGUCGGAUUAGCUAGUUGGCGGGGUAAAGGCCCACCAAGGCGACGAUCCGUAGCUGGUCUGAGAGGAUGAUCAGCCACACUGGAACUGAGACACGGUCCAGACUCCUACGGGAGGCAGCAGUGGGGAAUAUUGGACAAUGGGCGCAAGCCUGAUCCAGCCAUACCGCGUGGGUGAAGAAGGCCUUCGGGUUGUAAAGCCCUUUUGUUGGGAAAGAAAAGCAGUAGGUUAAUACCCCGCUGUUCUGACGGUACCCAAAGAAUAAGCACCGGCUAACUUCGUG
rnacentral:rRNA from 1 species